CAUUCAUAAUAAAAGUGUUUUAUGGCACUUUUAAAACAAUCCAUAUCCACCUUGUGUGCAAUGUUUUUUCUUAUUUUUCAACUCAUUUUUUUAAUUUAUUUUGUCUGAAAUAUAUUAUGAAUACUUAAUUCAAAAAUAUAACUUUCAACAACGGAUCUCUUGGCUCUCGCAUCGAUGAAGAACGCAGCGAAAUGCGAUACGUAAUGUGAAUUGCAGAAUUCAGUGAAUCAUCGAAUCUUUGAACGCAUAUUGCGCUCUCUGGUAUUCCGGAGAGCAUGCUUGUUUGAGUAUCAGUAAACACCUCAGAUCCCAAGAUUUGUUUCUUGGGGUUUGGAUUUGAGUAAUCCUAACGAGAAGGCAUUCGCCAACUUGGCAGGUCACUUGAAAUGCAGGUGCAGCUGAACAUUCUUCUGAGCUAAAAGCAUAUUUAUUUAGUCCUGUUGACUCUUUAUGAGUUUGCGGAUUAUUACUUUUGCUGCAGCUAACAUAAAGGUUGAAUGAUUUCAAAUGCUGACUGAUGCAGGAAUUUAUCAGUUUAUAUAAAACUGUUAAACUCGAUCUCAAAUCAAGUAAGACUACCC
rnacentral:rRNA from 1 species